AGAGUUUGAUCCUGGCUCAGAACGAACGCUGGCGGCAUGCCUAACACAUGCAAGUCGAACGAGACCUUCGGGUCUAGUGGCGCACGGGUGCGUAACGCGUGGGAAUCUGCCCCUUGGUUCGGAAUAACAGUUAGAAAUGACUGCUAAUACCGGAUGAUGACGAAAGUCCAAAGAUUUAUCGCCGAGGGAUGAGCCCGCGUAGGAUUAGCUAGUUGGUGAGGUAAAGGCUCACCCAAGGCGACGAUCCUUAGCUGGUCUGAGAGGAUGAUCAGCCACACUGGGACUGAGACACGGCCCAGACUCCUACGGGAGGCAGCAGUGGGGAAUAUUGGACAAUGGGCGAAAGCCUGAUCCAGCAAUGCCGCGUGAGUGAUGAAGGCCUUAGGGUCGUAAAGCUCUUUUACCAGGGAUGAUAAUGACAGUACCUGGAGAAUAAGCUCCGGCUAACUCCGUG
rnacentral:rRNA from 1 species